rnacentral:lncRNA from 1 species
AAAUAAUUUCAUGACUUGAACUAGGGAGAGUGAGGUACAUAAGAGGGUUCUAAAUAAUUCAUAGUACUUUACAUAAAAUUUUGGAAAUUUUUUAUGGAAUUAUAAUAUUUUUAAUUACCUUUUUAUCUCAUUUAAUUAACUAAAAAUAGUUUCAGGUCUCCAAAAAUUUCAUAAAAUAUACCAAAAUUUCCAGAAUAUUAUCUACUAUUUUAUUAUGAAAAAAUAAAAAACAAAUAGAGCCUCCCUGAGGCCGCACGGGCCCCCACGCGCCACCGGUGAGAGUGGGCGUGGGCGACGCGCACUGCUCAUCGUCCCCCCACCCGUUUUAUGCAGAAACGGGUCGCGCGACCCGGUUUUUGACCCGGUUCGAUCUCCCUCAAUACUCAACGAAACUCGACGUUCCUUAUAUGGAUUUUGAUCGUUUUUCAAUUUUACAAAGGUUUCCGGUAUUAGUUUUCGAAAUCGGCGUUCGAUUUGCACGUAAAAUGAG